rnacentral:rRNA from 1 species
GACGAACGCUGGCGGCGUGCCUAACACAUGCAAGUCCAACGAGAAAGUCUCCUUCGGGAGACCGGUAAAGUGGCGGACGGGUGAGUAACGCGUGGGAAUCUACCCGGUAGUGGGGGAUAACCCCCCGAAAGGGGAGCUAAUACCGCAUAAGCCCCAAAGGGUAAAGAUGGCCUCUUCCUAAUGCUAUCGCUUCCGGAUGAGCCCGUGUCCUAUUAGCUAGUUGGUGAGGUAAUGGCUCACCAAGGCUACGAUGGGUAGCCGGUCUGAGAGGAUGAACGGCCACACUGGGACUGAGACACGGCCCAGACUCCUACGGGAGGCAGCAGUGGGGAAUUUUGCGCAAUGGGGGAAACCCUGACGCAGCAACGCCGCGUGGAUGACGAAGGCCUUCGGGUCGUAAAGUCCUGUUCUGGGGGAAGAAAAGCAGAGGACCAAUACCCCUCUGCCCUGACGGUACCCCAGCAGAAAGCUCCGGCCAAUUAUGUGCCAGCAGCCGCGGUAAUAC